AUUGAACGCUGGCGGCAGGCCUAACACAUGCAAGUCGAGCGGAGCGGCGGACGGGUGAGUAAUGCCUAGGAAUCUGCCUGGUCGUGGGGGAUAACGUCCGGAAACGGGCGCUAAAAACGCAUAAUAUCAGAUGAGCAUAGGUAGGAUUAGCUAGUUGGUGGGGUAAGGGCCUACCAAGGCGACGAUCCGUAACUGGUCUGAGAGGAUGAUCAGUCACACUGGGAGUGAGACCAGGUCCAGACUCCUACGGGAGGCAGCAUUGGUGAAUAUUGGACAAUGGGCGAAAGCCUGAUCCAGCCAUGCCGCGUGUGUGAUGAAGGUCUUCGGAUUGUAAAUCACUUUAAGUUGGGAGGCGUUACCAACAGAAUAAGCACCGGCUAACUUCGUGCCAGCAGCCGCGGUAAUAC
rnacentral:rRNA from 1 species